GAAGAAGCCGGGGCGGCGGCCUAACACAUGCAAGUCGAGCGGUAGAGAGAAGCUUGCUUCUCUUGAGAGCGGCGGAAGGGUGGGUAAUGCCUAGGAAUCUGCCUGGUAGUGGGGGAUAACGUUCGGAAACGAACGCUAAUACCGCAUACGUCCUACGGGAGAAAGCAGGGGACCUUCGGGCCUUGCGCUAUCAGAUGAGCCUAGGUCGGAUUAGCUAGUUGGUGAGGUAAUGGCUCACCAAGGCGACGAUCCGUAACUGGUCUGAGAGGAUGAUCAGUCACACUGGAACUGAGACACGGUCCAGACUCCUACGGGAGGCAGCAGUGGGGAAUAUUGGACAAUGGGCGAAAGCCUGAUCCAGCCAUGCCGCGUGUGUGAAGAAGGUCUUCGGAUUGUAAAGCACUUUAAGUUGGGAGGAAGGGCAUUAACCUAAUACGUUAGUGUUUUGACGUUACCGACAGAAUAAGCACCGGCUAACUCUGUGCCAGCAGCCGCGGUAAUACAGAGGGUGCAAGCGUUGAUCGGAAUUACUGGGCGUAAAGCGCGCGUAGGUGGUUUGUUAAGUUGGAUGUGAAAUCCCCGGGCUCAACCUGGGAACUGCAUUCAAAACUGACUGACUAGAGUAUGGUAGAGGGUGGUGGAAUUUCCUGUGUAGCGGUGAAAUGCGUAGAUAUAGGAAGGAACACCAGUGGCGAAAGGCGACCACCUGGACUAAUACUGACACUGAGGUGCGAAAGCGUGGGGAGCAAACAGGAUUAGAUACCCUGGUAGUCCACGCCCGUAAACGAUGUCAACUAGCCGUUGGAAGCCUUGAGCUUUUUAGUGGCGCAGCUAACGCAUUAAGUUGACCGCCUGGGGGAGUACGGCCGCAAAGGUUAAAACCUCAAAAUGAAAU
rnacentral:rRNA from 1 species